GAGAUUAUAGUAUAAUUGUUUGUAUAUUUCUCUUUCGAAGAAAAGGUUUUUGUCUUA
rnacentral:tRNA from 1 species